AGGACGAACGCUGGCGGCGUGCUUAACACAUGCAAGUCGAACGAGGUGCUUGCACCUAGUGGCGAACGGGUGAGUAACACGUGAGCAACCUGCCCCUGGCUCUGGGAUAGCCUCCGGAAACGGGGAUUAAUACCGGACAUUCACUUUCUUCCGCAUGGUGGAGGGUGGAAAGUUUUUCGGCUGGGGUGGGCUCGCGGCCUAUCAGCUUGUUGGGGGGGUGACGGCCCACCAAGGCGACGACGGGUAG
rnacentral:rRNA from 1 species